GUCGCCUAUCUGUUGGCCCCGCCGUUCUAAGCAUCACAUUCCCCCUCAUCUCUCAAUUCCACGCUCGAGGGGAAAAAAAGGGGCGAGCCCUAAUCGUCUCUUUCUCUGCUUGAAUCCGGCGAUGUCACCGUUCCAAGGUGGAGACGUUCAGUUCCGUCUCUAAGCCUCACGUUCUUAGGAGUAAUGAUUCUUAAUUUGGUGAGGUUUUUUAAUUUGCAAGAUUUGUUUGUAAGAUAUAAACCAUUUUAUUUGGUGAGAUUUUCAAUUUCUGAAAUUGAAUUGCUGAUUUUGAAUGUUCAAUUGUGGUUGAGCUUUGAAUUGAAAAAAAUGCAGAUUUUUUUCUUUUUUUCUUUCGUAAUGGUAUUCUUUUUGGUCUUGAAUUUUUUUUCCUGAUUUUGAAUGUUCAAAAUUUCUUUGAAUGCAGAUUUUCGAAUGUUCAAUUUCUUUCAUUUUGAAUGCAGAUUUUGAAUGUUCAAUUUCUUUCUGAUUUUCAAUUGUGGUUGUUCAUUUUUUUUUCCUGAUUUUGAAUGUUCAAUUUCUUUCAUUUUUUCAACGUUCAAUUGUGGUUGAAACCUUUUGCUAUUUGUCUAAUUAGAACUAAAUUGUGGUUGAAACCUUUUGCUAUUUGUCUAAUUUGAACUAUGUUCUUGUUAGCUUUAAUUCUCCUCUAUUUAAUGUUAAACUUGUUGUCAACUUUUAAAGUAUCUGAAGUUUUUUUUACUAUUAGUUACCGAUUGAGCUUAUUUGUGGUUAGGCUUAAUUCUCCUAGUCAGAACUCCGUCUGCACUUCUCUGGAUCUCUGCUCUGAUCUGGAGGCCAGCUCAACUCUGGCGUCUUCUCUGCUCAGCUCAGAAGGUUGUUCUGCUCUGAAGGUCGGCCCUGCUGUGCCCUCUGGAGGUCGCCUCUACGCUGCUCUGGAGGUCCUCUGGAGCCCUGCUCUGCUCUGGAAAACUCCUCUGCUCUGGAGGACAGCUCUGCUCUGGAGGACUUCUCUGCCCUGGAAGUCUGCUCUGCUCUGGAGGACAGCUCUGCUCGGGAGGUGAUGUUUCUCCGCUGCUCUGCUCUGGAGAUUACACGCUGAUGUUGGACCGCUUUGGCUCUGGAGAACGGGCGUUGGCUGCUCUGGAGUUUCCUGCUCUGACGUUGCCUGCUCUGUCACUUUUGUGCUCUGGCUCGGCUGCUCUGCCCUGCUGCACAGCUAUGCCGGCUCUGGCUCUGGUCUGCCUGCUCUGCUCUGGAGCUUGCUCUUCUGUUUAUUUCUCUGGCUCCGCUGCUCUGCUCUGGAGCUCCCUAGUUUUGGCGGUGUCUGCUUUGGAGUCGACUGCUCUGGCGUUGUCUGCAAGAGUGCGCUUCUGCUCUGACUCCGCUUCUCUGGUGUUGGCUGCUCUGGGACUUUUGUACGCGGGCUCGGCUGCUCUGCUCUGCUGCACCACUCGGUGCAGCCUUCCCGCAGGAGUAGCUUGCUCUUCCUUUGUUGUUUUGGCUUUUGCGUUGUUUGCUCUCUCUUUUGGUUUGGAUUUUGUUGUUUUUUCCGUUUUUUUGGGCUUUCCUUUGAGGCCCCCUCCUUGUUUGCGCCUGUGCUCUCAAGGUUUUUUCAAUCUUCUUUUUUCAAUAAAAUUUUCAUUUCAGCAUCAUUCCCUUUUUAAGAAAAUCUCAUUUGCAAUCAUAGUUCGGUCACAGUUUCUCUUCUUUUGUAGGUUGCCAUAAGGAAUAUUAGAACAGGCGCCAUCAAAUCUUAUGAGAUAAGUAUCAUCAAAGCUAAGUAUUGAUUAUUGUUUUCUCAUAUCUUUGUUUGUUUAUGUUUUUUUCAUAUUUUUCUAGCAAAAAACAUGGUGCAGAUUUUGAGAGUUACAGAUAAGUAUUAGCAAAACUAAGUAUUGAUUAUUGUUUUAUCAUAUGUUUCUGUUUUCUUCGUAUUUCUAGCAAAAAAAUUACUGUUUUGGCAGCUAGGUAGCUUAUCUUAAUGUCUUUUGAUAAACUUAAAUAAAUAUGAUUUUGAAUUAUUUUAGUUUUUUUAAAAUAAAAAAUGUAUAAUUUUAAGUUGUGAUGAUUUACUUUGUUCUGUAUAGUUGAUACUCCCUCCGUCCACCAAUUAAAGCCCUACUUGCCCUUAAAUUUUUGUCCACCAAUUAAAGCCCUAUUGUGCUUUUUGUACCCUUUUACCCUCUCUCUUUACUUUAAAUUACUACCCUUUGUCUAAAAAAUUUAUUUUCCAGUUUUAAGUUUAUUUAUUUAUUUUCUGAAAAUUUUAAUUCCAGUUUAUUUAUUUUCUGAAUUUUUAGUUUAUUUAUUUUCGAAUUUUCAGUUUAUUUAUUUUUCAAUUUUCAGUUUAUUUAUUUAUUUUCUGAAAAUUUUAAACCAGUUGAUGUAUACAUUUAAUAAUUAUGUUUAGCUAUUUUCUGAUUAGAAGUGCAGAAAAUAAGGUAAAAACAAAUAUAAAAUAUGUAGUGUAAGAAACGCAAUAAAUAAGAAGAAAAAAAAGAAAUAAAAUAGAAAUAAUACUAAAGAAGUAAUAAAACAAUAAAGAAAACACAUAAAAUAGGAAGAAAAAAAGCUUAAGAUAUAGAAAAAAAAAUAAAAAAAAGAAUCUAAUGAUGUAGUAAAACAAAAAGAAACACAUAAAAUAGUUAUAUAAAGACAGAGCAAAAAGAUGCAGAAAUACAAAGCAAAAGAUACACAUAAAAUAGGUACAGAAACACAUAAAGAGAGAGAAGAAAUAAAAUGAUGUAAGAUGCUAUUAUAAACCAAAGUAUAGAUACAGAAAGUCAAAAAGAUGCAGAAAUUGAUGCAAGCUUUUAUGAAGAAAUGAAAAAACGAAAGCUAGAAGCUUAGAGAAAAGAAAUUAUAGACAUUCAAGCAAGAAUUUGCCAACAUUAAAGAUAGAAAAGAAGCUUCUUGAAUCUGCUGACAAAAAAUAGAACGUGCAGAUACUGAAUCAAGAAGUUGCCAAAGAAAAGAAGAGGAGCAAAAAAGAAAGUGAGCUGCUGCACACAUAUAAGCAAGAAACUGCUGAAAAAGAAAGAGAGCUGCUGCACACAUUGAAGCAAGAAAAAAAGAAAGAGAAGCAUACAGAGAAAAAUGGAAGCUGCCGAAAACAAAAGAAAAAAGGAAGAGAAGCAUGAAGAGAAAAAUGGAUCUCUUUUUUUACUUUAUACACAUCUCACAAUCAUUUAUCAAAACACAUAUCCCAUAUAACACUACAAAAUUUUAUUACAAAUUAUUAUUAUUAUUAUUAUUAUUAUUAUUAUUAUUAUUAUUAUUAUUAUUAUUAUUAUGUGUGUGUAUGUUUAUAUUUAUUAUAUUUAUUACCUUGGUUAACCAAAAAUGGGCGGCAGUGUUAAGGCAGCAGACAAGGAAUUAAAGCUUAAUCUUGAAAAUGCCUUGGAAAUUCAAAAGUGGGCGGCUAUGGGCGGCUGCACACUUAGAAUUCAUUUAGGCCGUGUUUGAAAACUUGGUUGCGAAAUGGCAAGUUACACAAACUCAAGGAAAUGUAACAAGAGUUGGGCUGGUUAUAUUGUAUUGACUGUGUAUUUGGUAGCAGAUGUUUAAAGGCGUGAAAAUAGAGUGCAGUUGUUUGCUCCGCUGCACUGGAGCUUCGAUCUCUCUGCUCGGGGGAAGCGACUUCUCUGGCAGCGGGGAAGCGAUCCCGCUGGAACCCGAUCCCGCUGUCGUCUCGAUCCCUCUGGCCUGGAGCUCCUUGAUUCCGCUGGCCUGGAAGCUCGGACUCGACUUCUCUGGCAGCGCGGACUCGAUCCCGCUGGCACCCGAUCCCGCUGGCACCCGAUCCCUCUGGCCUGGAGCUCCUUGAUUCCGCUGGCCUGGAAGCUCGGCUCCGCUGCACUGGAGACUCGAUUCCGCUGGCGCUCGUCGACUUCUCUGCUACUUCUUCACAAUUUGGGCUAAACAACUCUCAUCAAUGAAAGCAAGCUACAAGAGGUGAACCGUUGUGGUCUUUGGCCGGAUCAGAGAAAACCGCCCUAAUCUUGGCCGGAUCAGAGAAAUUCAACGGAAAGCAGCGGCGCGAGAUGGUUCCCAGCAAAUCAAAGCGGGUUUGAUUAGGAGUGCGCGAUCACAUGUAUGAUCGGAUGCGGAUUAAGGACUGUGCUGUGUAGAGGAAGAUUUACAAGCAAGCCAUGAGUACAAAACCUCUGUAGUCUGUACGUAUAGGCGAAUUACCAAAUUCUGGUAUCGCCAUUACAUUCAUGCGAAGAGGGGGUAAACUCUAGGGUUUCGAAUUUUAGUUGUCUCCCCCUCUGUAAAAUCAACUGCCACUCCCUCUGCAUAUGGCGAUAAUCAAACUUGUUUCAGCUUCGUAGCGGAAAAUUGAUUGGCUUUCCACUUGAGAUUUUGCGUCUUUGCUCAGAGUAGUUUGUACUAUUGCAUCUGCAUCAGAUAUCUCUACGUUCUAAUUUUGCUUA
rnacentral:lncRNA from 1 species